rnacentral:rRNA from 1 species
GACAACCCUAGAGAUAGGGCUUUCCCUUCGGGGACAGAGUGACAGGUGGUGCAUGGUUGUCGUCAGCUCGUGUCGUGAGAUGUUGGGUUAAGUCCCGCAACGAGCGCAACCCUUGAUCUUAGUUGCCAGCAUUCAGUUGGGCACUCUAAGGUGACUGCCGGUGACAAACCGGAGGAAGGUGGGGAUGACGUCAAAUCAUCAUGCCCCUUAUGACCUGGGCUACACACGUGCUACAAUGGACAGAACAAAGGGCUGCAAGACCGCAAGGUUUAGCCAAUCCCAUAAAUCUGUUCUCAGUUCGGAUCGCAGUCUGCAACUCGACUGCGUGAAGCUGGAAUCGCUAGUAAUCGCGGAUCAGCAUGCCGCGGUGAAUACGUUCCCGGGCCUUGUACACACCGCCCGUCACACCACGAGAGUUUGCAACACCCGAAGUCGGUGAGGUAACCUUUAUGGAGCCAGCCGCCGAAGGUGGGCUAAUUG